CAAAAUCAUAAUAAAUUGUAUAUUCAAAAUAGACAAUAUAUUGAUUGGAAGUCGGGCUAUUUGGACGAGAAGGUUACACUUUAUCUUGGUUUUUGUCUCAUGAUUCUUCUGCCUCAUUUAUGCAAUCGAGGAUAAAAUUUUAAUCUGACUUAAAAUUCAGCCAUUUUCAUCAGUGUCAAGUCUUAUCACAUGCUCUUGCCGCAUCCAGAGGAAUAGCAGUUUAGAUCUUUCUUUCUUCAUUAUCUUUUUCAUUUACAACAUCUUUGAUUACAAUCUACAGCUAUACCAUUUUUCUUACCAAAGUCCAUGUACAACAAUUCUCAUGCUCAGGAAUGCGUUAGUGAAAUCCUGAAGAGUGCAAGACAGUCAAAUGUUCCAAUUGUCAUAGAUGGGGAUGGACUCUUUCUUGUAACCAACAAUCUUGAUCUUGUUAGUGGUUAUCCCUUAGCUGUUUUAACUCCAAAUGUGAAUGAAUACAAGCGUCUAGUUCGGAGAGUACUUGGUUGUGAAGCUAGUGAACAAGAAUCUCCCAAGCAGUUGCAAUCUCUUGUCAACGGGAUCGGUGGCAUAACUAUCUUACAGAAAGGAAAGUUUGAUCUCAUCAGUGAUGGCGAGAUAGGUAUGUAAUUGGUUUUUACUAAAUCAGAAUAUUUUAUGUAUCUAAAAUUUCUAUAAUUUUUGCUAAGUAUAUGCUCAAGUGUUAAAGGUCUGUAUUGCAUCAUUUUGAUUCAGAGGUAAUCAAUAAUUGGCAUCAGCACGAUCACAAGAUGGAUAUAAUGCUAUGUUUCUUUUUCACAUGAUAGACAGUUUAUAUUUGGAGGUGUCCAAAUGUAUAAGUUGGUUGACCUGGGCUUCAACUUCUUUAGCUGUUCUGAUUCGAUUCCAGGAAAAAUUUCGUGAAAGCUUAGGUGACCUAGUGGGAUACCUAGGCAGCUGAUUAAUGUGUCCAAAGCCAUUGGAUCUAGUUGUAUCUUGUUAUAUACGCGAUUAAUGACUUUUUUGUUUAAAUUUUAUGCGAUAUUUAAUUUUUAUCAGAUUACAACUCUUUGAAUCUGAUGUAAAAUAUCUAGCCUCCUCUUUGUACAUUGAUUUUUAUUUUUGCUUUUUGAAUUAUUGCAUCUUUCUACUUGGUUCAGAAAACGUUAAAAGUCUUUUGAUAUUAAUUAGUGAUGGUAUAUGCAGUCAAAUUGGUGAGCGUCUAUGGUUCCCCUCGGCGAUGUGGUGGCCAGGGUGAUAUUCUAUCAGGAAGUGUUGCUGUGUUUUUAUCCUGGGCACGAUCCAAAGAAAAAUUUGCCAUCAGGUUGUAAACCAGAUUUUUUUCUGUGAAACUUCACCAUUGCUUGCGGUUUUGUUUCCUAUAGUUUGACUUAAAUCUGAGUAUCGCAGUCAUGCCAAUCCAACUGUGUUGGGUUGCAUCGCUGGAUCCGCUUUUCUGAGGAAGGCAGCUUCUCUUGCUUUUGAAAAUAAGAAAAGAUCAACUCUCACUGUGGACAUCAUCGAAUGCCUUGGGAGGAGUUUGGAGGAUCUUUGUCCAGCCUGUUAGAAUGGAUGCAGAAAUGAAAUUACUGGCCGAUAUAUGAGUGACGUUAUGCAUCGGAGACCAGAACUUUCACUUAAAUUGUUGCAGUUCGGUGAUGGAAUCCUGCUUCCAGCCACCACUAGCUCCUCCAGAGGUGACACGAUCGCACUGCCAAACUCUCCCAACAUUUUAUCUCUGUAAUUAAAUAUGAUAAUUGAGUCGCCCUAGCUAGAAAGUUAAGAGCUUGGACAUGGUGGCUUGGAGCCAAGAGGCUGCAUUGUAUUUAUAGGAAAAUGUUGGGGGUAUUAUCUCUGGUUAGUCAGGUCAAGUGGGUCAAACGAGCCAAAGAUGGGUUGUGUUUUGUUCUGACAAACUUAUUUCUUGCUUAGGUUGUGUUGUGUCAAUCUAUUCCUGAUUUGGGUUGUGUUCAAGUUGGAUAUUUUCAAUAUUAUUCUAAUUCGGAU